CUUAAAUAAAAAGUUUUAUUUCUUGUUGUAUUACUUAAUAAAUUUAAUUUGCAACUUUCGGAUUUGUCUCGACAGAGAUGGUUUUAAUUCGUUAUAUAAUGUUUGUUUUAUCUUUUAAGACUGUUAUGAUAUUAUUAU